AACGCACGAGACCUGCGGACCUGCGGAGGGAUCAUUAAAAGUGCCCUGAUUAUCAGGGACAAGACCACUGACCGUUGGGAACCUGUAAAGGCAACCAGCACAGGGUUAUUGUGUCCACUCUAUGUUGAAACUUCAAUAUUUGCUUCGGCAGCACUCUUAGUGGGAAACCAUUUGGAGGUAAGGCUGUCAGAGGCCCAAAAUUAAACUAUUUUGAUGAAAUGUCAUGCUGUCUGAUACAUU
rnacentral:misc_RNA from 1 species